UACAGAGGGGGCAAGCGUUGUCCGGAAUUAUUGGGCGUAAAGCGCGCGCAGGUGGUUUCUUAAGUCUGAUGUGAAAGCCCACGGCUCAACCGUGGAGGGUCAUUGGAAACUGGGGAACUUGAGUGCAGAAGAGGAAAGUGGAAUUCCAAGUGUAGCGGUGAAAUGCGUAGAGAUUUGGAGGAACACCAGUGGCGAAGGCGACUUUCUGGUCUGUAACUGACACUGAGGCGCGAAAGCGUGGGGAGCGAACAGG
rnacentral:rRNA from 1 species